GGGGAUGUAGCUCAGUGGUAGAGCGCCUGCUUUGCAUGUUUGAGGUCCUGGGUUCAAUCCCCAGCAUCUCCA
rnacentral:tRNA from 1 species